ensembl:lncRNA
UAUCUUGUUUCCUUCAGACUGCCUGGCUUCUCCUGUGUGAGGUCCCAAGUCGGCCUACAACUCCCUGGGCAGACAGCCAGUAUGGGAAUCCUGGACCGUCUGCAGCUGUUCUGCAAUGGAACUAAAGACCCUCAGGUAUCUGCUGCACUGGUGGCUAAUUUCCACACUAUCACGGAGAGCACCCUAGCAGCCAUUGGGAACAGCAGCAGUGGCCUCACGACCACCCAGAUAUCCUCCAUCUCUUCCUCGGCACUCGUGUCGUCCCUGGCCACACUCGGCACCGUGAGCGGCUGGAACCUGGGCCAGGCUAGUACAGUCAUCCAGAGUAUCAUUACCGGAGGCUUCCCGAUCAACACUGCCUCCUCGUUGAUGUCGUUGGGCACACUCGUUGCGGGCGUUCCGUCAGCGGCGAUAGCGAGCAUCCCAGCCACUGAGCUGUUGACAGCAUCCCAGAGCUCUGUGUUUAUCAGCAACAUGCUGGCUGCCCCACAGAUUGUACAGGAAACCUACGUCAACAAGAUAAUCACCAUCAACCAAAGCCCCAACGCGUUGGUUGUGAACGUACCUGAUGCCAUGGCCACACUGAUCCCCAGGGCUCUCCUGACCUUCUCUCAGGAACCUGUGGACGUACAGGCCAUUAACAGAAAGACAUGGAAGCAAGAACAGGUUAGUAGUGUCUUGUCAUCAUUUAUGAACAGGCCUUCCCGAUGAGCACAAGACAAGAGCAGGUCAGUGUCUUGUCAUCAUUUAUGAACAGCCUAUCCGAUGAGCACAAGACAGAGCAGGUCAGUGUCCUUGUCAUCAUUUAGUGACAGGCCUUCCCGAUGAGCACAAGACAAGAGCAGGUCAGUGUCUU